GACGAACGCUGGCGGCGUGCCUAAUACAUGCAAGUAGAACGCUGAAGGAAGGAGCUUGCUCUUUCCGGAUGAGUUGCGAGCGGGUGAGUAACGCGUAGGUAACCUGCCUGGUAGCGGGGGAUAACUAUUGGAAACGAUAGCUAAUACCGCAUAACAGUAGAUGUUGCAUGAUAUCUACUUAAAAGGUGCAAUUGCACCACUACCAGAUGGACCUGCGUUGUAUUAGCUAGUUGGUGAGGUAACGGCUCACCAAGGCGACGAUACAUAGCCGACCUGAGAGGGGGGACGGGCAAACUGGGACUGGAGAACGGCCCAGGCCUCUACGGGAGGGAGCAGGAGGGAAUCUUCGGCAAUGGACGGAAGUCUGACCGAGCAACGCCGCGUGAGUGAAGAAGGUUUUCGGAUCGUAAAGCUCUGUUGUAAGAGAAGAACGAGUGUGAGAGUGGAAAGUUCACACUGUGACGGUAUCUUACCAGAAAGGGACGGCUAACUACGUG
rnacentral:rRNA from 1 species